AACGUAGGACGCGAGCGUUAUCCGGAGUUACUGGGCGUAAAGCGCGGGCAGGCGGUCUGACAAGUCUGAUGUGAAAUCUCCGGGCUUAACCGGGAGAGGCCAUUGGAAACUGACAGGCUGGAGGGCAGUAGAGGUAGGCGGAAUUCCGGGUGGAGUGGUGAAAUGCGUAGAGAUCCGGAGGAACACCAGAGGCGAAGGCGGCCUCCUGGGCUGCACCUGACGCUGAGCCGCGAAAGCCAGGGGAGCAAACGGG
rnacentral:rRNA from 1 species